AUGGAAAGCAAUAACGACGAAGCUAAGAUCAGAGGGGAAGAUAGUGCUUGCGGUGGCAUCAUGUGGCAUUGCAGCGUUGCUUCUCCAAGGUGGAAGGACAGCACACCAAGGUUCCGCAUUCCACUUAAUAUAACUGAAGAAUCAACGUGUGAAAUAAAACAAGGCUCACAUUUGGCUGAACUACUAAAGAAGACCUCACUUAUAUUGUGGGACGAAGCUCCUAUGGCAAACAAACACUGCUUCGAGGCACUAGACAAAAGCCUUAGAGAUAUUCUCAGAUUCACUAACGAGAACAGCGACGAAAAGCCAUUUGGUGGAAUGACAAUUAUACUAGGAGGCGACUUCAGACAAAUCCUACCAGUUAUAACCAAAGGAAGGAGAGAGCAAAUAGUUAAUGCUACAAUCAAAAGGUCAUAUCUGUGGAAACACUUUGAAAUAUUUGAGUUGACACAAAACAUGCGGCUGAAGUGUUUGUCUGAUGAUCCAAUACAAAAGCAAAAAGUCGCUGAAUUUGCAGAGUGGAUACUACAAAUUGGCGAUGGGAAAACAACAUCAGAUGAAGGAGAGGAUUGGAUAAAAAUACCAAAGGACCUACUGCUACAGAAAGGAGAAAAUCGUAAAGAACUAAUCGUCGAAAGCAUAUAUCCAAACUUGCUGCAAAAAUACCGUGAGCGGGAUUACCUAGAAGAAAGAGCAAUACUCUGUCCAAGAAAUGAUACAGUCAAGGAGAUAAACGACCACAUCAUGAGCCAAAUACAAGGUGAUGAGGUGACAUACCUAAGCCUGGACACCAUGUGCAAGGCAACGACAAACACCAACAUCAUGAUGAACAUGCAGCCUACUGAAUUCCUAAACACCUUGACGUUCCCUGGAAUCCCAGACCAUGAGCUAAAACUGAAAGUGGGUUUGCCGGUCAUGCUCCUACGCAACAUCAACCAAGCAGCAGGUUUAUGCAAUGGUACAAGAAUGACAAUAACACAACUUGGAAACAAAUACAUUGAGACACGAAUAAUCACAGGAACACACGUCGGUGACAAGGUAUACGUACCUCGAAUAAUCAUGUCACCCAGCGACUCAAAAUGGCCAUUCGUGCUGAAAAGAAAGCAAUAUCCAUUAUCAGUGUGCUUCGCAAUGACGGUAAACAAGAGCCAAGGUCAGUCCUUAAACAAGAUAGGAAUAUAUUUGCCUAAGCAAGUGUUCUGCCACGGACAACUGUAUGUGGCAUUAUCAAGAGUGACAAACAAGGAAGGACUGAAGGUAUUGAUCGAUGACAAAGAGUGUCCAACUGAAGAUGUCGCAAAAAAUAUUGUUUAUAAAGAGAUAUUCUAA
rnacentral:rRNA from 1 species